UGCAUACGAAAGACUACCAGCGGAGAGUGACCUGUGCCAUAUUUCUCUUAACCUCUCAGGUACUCAAGAAAUGGCAACAUCCAGAAGAAGACGCCAUUUUAUCCAGCACGUUAUGGGUACACUCUGGCGGCUCCCGCCCCUGCAUCCUACCGCCACCGUGUCCUGACCACGUCUACUAGGGAGUUGAAGCCUUUGGCGGCUCCUGCCACUGUGUCCUGCCACCACCGUGUCCUGACUACGUCCACUAGGGAGUUGGCAGCCUUCGUGAUGGUGCCAAGCAGGCUCGAAGCUGACAGAAAGAUUAAUGUAAAUACAUGCAAUUUAGUGGCAACUUUUUGAGUGAAGUGGCGUGUAGCCACUCAGCAAUGAAAGAAUUAACCCUUUACGGAAGAGUGUUGCCUACAGGCAACAUCCCAAAAAAGGAUUUUUUUCUUCUUGAGUUUAAGU